GAGUCAAAAAGUAUCAUUAAGUGGUCCAAACAAGUCUCAAAUCCAGAUGAUGGGGAUUCAGAUCAUGUGAAAUUUUGCAGUCUAUACUUGCCAGCCACACUGCUAAGGGCAACGUGCGGAAGCCUGGUAUCUGACUAAUGCUCACCAAGUGUUACAAGGCUUGAGCAGAGGGAAAUAUGCAACCCUGUGACCCUGACUCAGAAUAGCCAAACUCCAUCUGCUCUGAAACUUUAAAUGGGCUUUAUCCAGGGAAAGCUCAGAAACUGCAAGUACAGAAUUUCACAAAACCAGAGAAGAAUGAACAGGUACUAUACCUUACAGCAUAUUGAGCAUAUUAAUCACUGCCUGAUA
rnacentral:lncRNA from 1 species